AUAGAACGAUCAAGAGCAAAAGGAUGUUAAAAAAAAUUCGACGAAAUUUAAUUAUAACCCUUUGUGGCACAUGAAAAACCAGGACAAAGUGCAACCCCUUGUUUUGAGGUGUAAAUAUUAACAUAACAAUAUUUAUCUCCGCGUCGGUACAAAGACUUAGAGAAACGCUUGUAAUUAAAAAACACCCGAAAAAUUGUGUUAGCUGACGAAUCCGACACCUUUUCACCCUCCCACCCUGUCUGGAAAAAUGUCUCUUUUAAAUAACGUAAAAGGAGUCAAAACCACACCUCAGCCCAUUCAAAAAAAUUCAUGACGUGUCUCAAUGUUUUAAUGUUUAUAGUGUGACGUGGUUCAAUUAAGUGGACAGAUGACAACCUUCAGAAAAUUGAUGACGCCAUAUUAAAAGAUUGUUAAACAUAUUCCAGCCUACGUGUUCAAAAUUUUAGAAAAUGUUAGUUUCAUUUCAUUUUCGCUAUUUUUUUGUGGUCUACAUUGUCGUAUCCCGGUUCAAAUUAAAAAAGCGCGCCGCGGAGGAAGGACAAAAGCGCGGUGUUGCCAGACGUGGCUACUUUUUAAAGUAAAUAAAGCCUAACCCUAAUAUUUUAAAUACCCACCAUAAUUUUCUGCAUUGUAGCCUUCAAUACUUAUACAUCUUUAAAUAUAAUCGUGAAGGGUAACAAAUCUGAAGCCCAUAAAAUACAGUAAAUUAUCUGUUCAACAAAACCCUGAUAUUUUACGGCUCUUCAUCAUCCUUACGAUAGCAGUUGAAGACUUGUGCGGCACAUGUAGGUACUUGUUCGCGAUACAAAAAUCUUCAUAGAAAUAGUUUUUAUAUUGCAUUAAAGGCCUUCGUUUCUUUGAUGAAAAAUAAAAACGAAAAAACGUUCUUUACUUUUUGGGCGAAAAUUAUAACUUAUUUUGGCUUGUAAAAAGCUAACAAUGUAGAUAUUAUUAUUGCCCACCCGGUUAUUAAAUUUAUUUUUUCGUUAAACUAUCCAUUUUUUGUAAACGUAGGCACCCAAACAUUUUCCUUCAUCCAGAACGAGUCAAAAAAGUGUAUGAUUUACGACAGGGUUAAGAAAUUUGACAGAUUUAAAUACCUUGUUGAGAAAGUAUGCAAAUGAGGUGACCGUAGUGUGUUCUACCUGAAGGUUGUGGAAUAUUAACCCAAUUUCAGACUAACGAAUAAAUGAGUUUAGAAAAGUUGGCGACUUUUGGCUACUUUUUGAGAAAAUGUUGGCGACUUUGAUAAAUCGAAGUCUGGCAACACCGCGGAGACUUGUUGCAGCACGUUGUUAAAGGUGGUACCAUGGUACCAGUGGUACUUUUUCUUUAUGUCUCGAAGUCUGUGUACUGUUGUGUGUGCUUUGUCUUUUUUAUUUUCAGCAUUGUUUUCACCUGUGUUUAGAGAUUUCCACCGAUCCAGUACUUGCCCAGGUGCGACGUUUUGAAGAACGCUGUGAUAGGUGUUGGUAAGCGUGAGAUCGGAUUCAACAGGUUGGGCGUAAACGGUCCGAAGCUCUGAAAAUUGCUAGGGAGAUCUCCCUUGAAUAAAUAUAUGCCUUGCUAAUGCCGAUGAUUAAUGCAAGGAAACGCCGAAAGGGAGCUGUAAACAGUGGAAUCCAGAAUGUUAUAAGCCGAAAAAUGAAGAUCUCAGAGACGGCUAAUGCUGUAAACACACUAACAGUGGACACAAUUUAGUAGGUUUUGAAUUUAUUUACACUUUUGUAGAAGAUGAAGACAAAAAAAAGUAGUGAAAUGUGUAUAUUUAUUAAAAUUAACAAAAAUAGAAAAACGUAAAGUAAACAAAACAAAAUAAAAUAAAAUAAAAUUCUCUCAAUUUUUAACUACAACGUACAACUAUUAAAACAUUGUAGCUUUAUUUUAACCUAUCUAAAUUUGGUUGAUGCCUUCACCUGGAGAUUAAGCAAGUGAGUGUUUCUUAGCAUGUACUUUUAACUGACAUGGGAACAAGUAUUUAAAUUUGCACUUAUCACACUGAUUCCAUCUAACGUGGUUCCUACCCCUAUGUUUCCGAAAUUUGUGCACAUUUAAAGUUCCUUUUUGUUUAGUUUUAUAUGAGCAACUAUCGCACUGGAACCAACGUAUUCGACCUUGUUCGUGUUUGCUACUUAUAUGAAUCUUUAAAUUCCCUUUAUAUUUAGCUUUAUAUUCACACAAAUUGCAGCUAUACCACAGUAUCUCGUCGUCUUUUGAGUGUUUCGAAAUCGUGUGUGACUUAAGAUUUCUCUUAGUUUUAGUCUUGUAUGCGCAUAUCUCGCACUGGUACCACUCCAUUUCCUGUUCUUCUAAAUGUUUCCAAAUUACGUGCCUUUUCAAACCAAGUUUGUUUUUGAAAACUUUCAUGCAUUUUUCACACUUCUUCGACUUUAAAUUCGUACUUUUCGAUUUUCUAGAGCCUCCUGUUGCUGUAAAAUUUGCAUAUUCAUGGAAUUUUAUGCAAUGUCGAUACCAGGUUAAAAUAAAGUGUGUUGCAAAUGGGCAAUGGGUGCAAAAAUAAGUUUUAAUUUUAAUCUUAUCUUGACUUUUGUUCAUUUUGCGGCUGUGAAAUCUCUGGAUGUGUCUUUUUAGACAAAUGGUUAGAGUUGUUUGGAAGUUACAUUCCGUGCAGUGAUAUAUUUCGAUGUCCGUAUUUUGACAGUUGAAACGUGUUAGGGCUGUACGGUGACGCUUCACAUGGUUCACCAUUAGAAAAACGGAUGUGGAGAAAUAUGGACAUCGCUUACAAUUAUGUAUAUUGUGUGAGGGAUCAACCUUUUCGGCAAAUUUUGGGGAGUAUUCCAAGUACAUUUUGUUUCCUUGAAUCCACUAAUUGUUAAAUACUUCUACUUCAGUAAUUAUUGUGUUUUCUUACCUUAAGUUUUAGAGAGCAUGCCCAAUCCCAACACCAUAACACCAUUAGUGCAACUUCCGGAGUACAGUUGACACCACAGAAUAGAAGUAAGAGAUUGGUGUGUGUAGUUCAGUAGUUGACUUUCCUCGGCGCUACUAGUCUUUAGUCACCAGAUUGGGUUAGUUAAUAAGGAGUAUAAGGGGACUUAUUUAUUUGAAAACUACUAGUAGAGAGAACCGUGGCACAGAUAAAAUUGACGUCAUACGUAAAGCGACACAGUAGAGCGUGUACAGAGUGUCUAUUGAGCAAGGUUCCGACUGGUAAGCAACCUGGAGAACUUUAUUCUAUUCCAGUUCAACUGCGUGCUUUUGAAAGAGUACACGUCGAUCACAUCGGACCUUUAAUUACAACUGAAAACGACAUACAUAUACCUUAGUCCUCACAGAUGCAUUAACAAAGUUUGUUACAAUGUAUCCAGUCGAGAGUAUCCGAAGUAACGAAACCAUACGGAUGAUACAAAGAUUUAUAGAUACUUAAGGAGUUCCGAGAAGAAUUAGUUGAGACAGAGGUACGUGCUUUACGUCGGAAGAUUUUGGCCAGUGGUGUGAAAGUUUACCCAGCAGAGGAAGUACAGAAAGAAAUCCGCAACAGAAUCGAAGUGGACCAAAAGACACAGAAAGCAAGAAACGAUAAGAAGAAACUUCAGGGUGUUCACUAUGAAGUUGGCGAUAUCGUGGUAAUUGCAACCUAUAGUCAUCAAAGUUUUGCCGAACGACACAUCGGGUGAAAGUGAGUGCGCGAAUAAAGGCCUGUUCCGACCAAAAAGUAGUUGUAGUGAUCUUCCAAGAAAAAGAAGUGGAAGACCGACUGGACAGCCGAAGCAUUUGGAUCAUUACGAUUUAGAAUAGAUGUCGUGAAACAUGUUCGUUGUAUUUGUAUUCAUGUUUUAAUUGUUAGAAUGUAAGAAAUUUUUUGGAAAAUUAGUUUAAGUUGAAUUUGUACGAACCGCUCCGCUAUCUCAGGAUGGUCGAGACUGUUAGCUUGUAAGAAGCGUCUAGGGAGUUUUGCGGAGAGAGGUUGGUUGGAAGGAGAUGGCGAAUGGCGGAGAGUUUGAGAGCGUGAACUUUUGGAGAAAUAAAGUACUUGUUUUUGUUUUAA